rnacentral:piRNA from 1 species
AGGCUGACUAAGAAUUCCUAAGCAUAG